GGCCAGACUCCUACGGGAGGCAGCAGUGGGGAAUAUUGCACAAUGGGGGAAACCCUGAUGCAGCGACGCCGCGUGAGUGAAGAAGUAUUUCGGUAUGUAAAGCUCUAUCAGCAGGAAAGAAAAUGACGGUACCUGACUAAGAAGCCCCGGCUAACUACGUGCCAGCAGCCGCGGUAAUACGUAGGGGGCAAGCGUUAUCCGGAUUUACUGGGUGUAAAGGGAGCGUAGGUGGCAGGGCAAGUCAGAUGUGAAAACCCGGGGCUCAACCCCGGGAGUGCAUUUGAAACUGUCCAGCUGGAGUGCAGGAGAGGUAAGCGGAAUUCCUAGUGUAGCGGUGAAAUGCGUAGAUAUUAGGAGGAACACCAGUGGCGAAGGCGGCCUGCUGGACUGCAACUGACGUUGAGGCCCGAAAGCGUGGGGAGCAAACAGGAUUAGAUACCCCAGUAGCC
rnacentral:rRNA from 1 species